GAUGAACGCUGGCGGCGUGCCUAAUACAUGCAAGUCGAGCGAACGGACGAGAAGCUUGCUUCUCUGAUGUUAGCGGCGGACGGGUGAGUAACACGUGGAUAACCUACCUAUAAGACUGGGAUAACUUCGGGAGACCGUAGCUAAUACCGGAUAAUAUUUUGAACCGCAUGGUUCAAAAGUGAAAGACGGUCUUGCUGUCACUUAUAGAUGGAUCCGCGCUGCAUUAGCUAGUUGGUAAGGUAACGGCUUACCAAGGCAACGAUGCAUAGCCGACCUGAGAGGGUGAUCGGCCACACUGGAACUGAGACACGGUCCAGACUCCUACGGGAGGCAGCAGUAGGGAAUCUUCCGCAAAGGGCGAAAGCCUGACGGAGCAACGCCGCGUGAGUGAUGAAGGUCUUCGGAUCGUAAAACUCUGUUAUUAGGGAAGAACAUAUGUGUAAGUAACUGUGCACAUCUUGACGGUACCUAAUCAGAAAGCCACGGCUAACUACGUG
rnacentral:rRNA from 1 species